UACGUAGGCAGCGAGCGUUGUUCGGAGUUACUGGGCGUAAAGGGUGUGUAGGCGGUUGUUUAAGUUUGGUGUGAAAUCUCCCGGCUCAACUGGGAGGGUGCGCCGAAUACUGAAUGACUAGAGUGCGGGAGAGGGAAGCGGAAUUCCAGGUGUAGCGGUGAAAUGCGUAGAUAUCUGGAGGAACACCGGUGGCGAAGGCGGCAUCCUGGACCAACACUGACGCUGAGGAGCGAAAGCCAGGGGAGCAAACGGG
rnacentral:rRNA from 1 species